ensembl:lncRNA
AUAAUGAAAAAAACUAAAAGAAAUUCAUUCAUGGGAGAAGAUCUGUGGAGCAUCACAAACCGAAGGAGAAUUAAACGAAGAGAAAAAGAAAAAUGCCAAACAAAGAGAGCAAGAGACAAUCUACUGAACCAGGAGAGAAACAGACACAGAGACUAACCAGAACAAACAGCAUCAAAAGUGGAAAACCAAACUUUUCUGAUGAUCCAGACAGUUUUAUUCAGAGAGACUCUCAGACGAGACAGGAGCAGCUUCUUUCACCGGACCAGCAGAAUGUACUUCAUAUUCAGUCACUGAUUAAACUAUGCAUAUUUUACUUUGUUUGUAUUUUAGUGUUAUUAUAUACUCAAAAUAUUAUAGACCUACUAAAUAUAAUCAACCAAUAUCAACACAACAGUUUU